AAACCUAAUAAAAUAGAAAAUCAAUGAAAUAAAAAAUAACAAAAAACAAGAAUAGGAAAGUGGGAAGCUGAAGAGUGCCUUAGCCGCGGCACCUCUCUUCCCGGAGCGGUCCUCUAUCUCAACCAAAUCGGAAUUGAAGCUCAAUUCAAUUAGGUGUAAGUAUUCUUCAAUCUUGAAACACCUUGAUUCGAUGUGGAUCCAGGUUCGUGUAGAUUUCGAGGAUGGAAUAUUGUUGGUAAUCCAUCAAUUUAACCUCAGCGUGGUAGCAAUUAGAGGCCUCUUGGAAGGGAAAAACUCUGGUUUUAUGAGUUGGAGCGCGCGUGGUCGACUUCAGGUCUGAGUACUAGCUAUCGACGUUGAUUCGAGCCAGCUACGAUCGUGAUCAGAGUCGAGGGUGAGCACAUUGCGUCCUGGAUUUACCCGUCUCUCUAUAUAUACAUUUUGCUUGUCUUUUGUUUUUUGAGACAACUUUAUUUCCGUGGUCCACUUUCGGGACUUGUACUCUUUUAUUAGCAUCUCUAUACAUAUGACUUUCAG